UCGUAGCGACUAGGUUGAUAUUGACGGUCUAUCACGUCUAUUAUGCUUUAGUGUGACGCAGUCACAAUGAUCUCUCAAUAAACAGCUAAAGUUUAAAAGGCAAUUGAAGUGAUGGAUGAGUUGUGUUUGUGUCCAGGUCUCCAGUCUACUAUGGAUGAGGUGAUAGAGGAGGGGGGUCCUACCUCUAAGACCACUCUGUCUGGGGAAAAUGGCCGCCGGAGCAAAGCUAAGAGAAGGAAGCAGCAGAGAGCAGACUCCCCUGGACCCAGCUGUGUCUAUGGAUAUACCUCCUGAAUUUAAAGAUGGACGGCCCUCCAGAGACGAGAGAAGGAGGCAGGAGAGAGCAGACUCCCCUGGACCCAGCUGUGUCUCCAUGAGGAGUGACUGGUCUAUGGGUAUACCUGAUAACUUUAAAGAUGGAUGCCCCUCCAGAGAGGAGAGGUAGGAGUUUCAAACGGACGAUAAAAGAGACAAGUUAGUUGUUAUCAGACUCUACUGAUACUGAUGUUUACUAGUCAGGAAGAAUAUGUGUGUGUGUGUGUGUGUGUGUGUGUGUGUGUGUGUGUGUGUGUGUGUGUGUGUGUGUGUGUGUGUGUGUGUGUGUGUGUGUUCUCCACAGACACCAGGAGAGGCCAAUGGUUACCAGUGCUCCGUCUGUACAGCAGCAUCAAACAGAGUUGGAGAUGAACCAGGAGGAACUGGCUGACACACUGUGGGGCGCACAGGUCAAUGAUGAACGUGUGCAAAGUGGGGGUGUGGCUAUGGAGACUGCUGAUUUAAAGGCUGUACAACCCGGACCCCACUGGCUUCAAGAGUAUGCCAUCUAUCUGGCCGGAUUGAAUCUGUCCUUCCUACACAUCGGAGAGGACAGUGAGCUGGAGGUGGACAUUGCUAUGAGAGAUGACGGAUGGCCUGUAUCAAUACAGAUCCGUUUAAACCCUGCAUCGCUGGCUGUUCUGCGAUUUACCACGGGGCUCUGUGUGGUAGCCAUCAUCAGCCAUCAGAAGCAAGCGGCCUGCUGGGGAUGCCAAUGUGAUUGCCCAAGUCAACGACGCCAUUCAUGCCUGCAGGGAGCGACACAUCAUCACUACGAAUCCCACUACCAUGACAUUUGUGUUAUGCUGGACAGACACCCCUUCCUGUUACUUUUAGAAACUGUUUUAAAGAAGACUACAGGGUUGACUGUGUCCCCAGGAAAAAUCUUUGGUGUGGUCGAAUCUUAUCUAUGUGAUUUAAUAUGCAAUACCUAUGAUACCGAAAAACUGGAUUUAAUGACCACCGAAGGUGUGUCCGAUGAACAUCUGCUUCUGAUAUAUGAAGCCAUACAAAUGUGGCGUCCUACAUUGUCAUUAGGCAAACCAAAGCCUGUUGUCGGGUGGCGUUUAUAAUGGGGAUUUUGUUUUCUUAUGCGUAUGAUGCGGAUAGCAAGUCUGUAUCAGAUAGACUAACCGCUUUGAUGUAUGCUACCAUAGAAAAUGAUACGUUUGUCCAUCAUAAUGCUUAUAUCAAAUGUAUGUAUAAGGAUUGGAAUGAUUUGGUCACGAAAUUCUUGCAUGACAAACCUACUGAUCUAAUGUUAGCUGAAAUAUUUAACCAUUUCUCCGACGGGGAGUGUUUUACUGUCGGUCAUGUAAUGUGUAUAUGUGCUUUUGUGUCGGAUGUCUUGAAGAUGAAUAAGGCCUCAUACGCAGAGUGUAUUAGUACUGCUCGAAUGAUGUCUUGUAAAAUGGUGCAGAAAAAUAAAUUUGCUUGUAAACUAUAUCUGAACAUUGUUUUGAGCGGACAGACAUUUUAAAUAAAAGGAUGGAUAACUCUGAUCAUUGUUUCAGUAUUCGUUUUUUUGUCGCAGGCAUACGACAUGGAUAAACGGCUGCAUAAGACUUAUUAUGAUCCCUCCGGACCAGGUGGUUACGGCGGCA
ensembl:lncRNA